rnacentral:rRNA from 1 species
CUCCCCUUUAAGUAGGGGGGCCCUUGACCGUACCUAACCAGAAAGCCAAGGGUGAGGUACGGGCCAGCCAGCCGCGUUAAUAGGUAGGGGGCCAGCCUUGUCCUGUAAUAUUUGGGCGUAAAGGGCUAGCAGGCGGUUUUUUUAAGUUUGAUGUGAAAGCCCCCCGGCUCAAUCGGGGACGGUUCAUUGGAAACUGGGGAACUUGAGUGCAGAAGAGGAGAGUGGAAUUCCACGUGUAGCGGUGAAAUGCGUAGAGAUGUGGAGGAACACCAGUGGCGAAGGCGACUCUCUCGUCAGUAACUGACGCUGAGGAGCGACAGCGUGGGGAGCGAACAGGAUUAGAUACCCUGGUAGUACACGCCGUAAACGAUGAGUGGUAAGUGUUAGGGGGUUUCCGCCCCUUAGUGCCGCAGGUAACGCAUUAAGCAUUCCGCCUGGGGAGUACGGUCGCAAGACUGAAACUCAAAGGAAUUGACGGGGGGCCGCACAAGCGGUGGAGCAUGUGGUUUAAUUGGAAGCAACGCGAAGAACCUUACCAGGUCUUGACAUCCUCUGACAAUCCUAGAGAUAGGACGUCCCCUUCGGGGGCAGAGUGACAGGUGGUGCAUGGUUGUCGUCAGCUCGUGUCGUGAGAUGUUGGGUUAAGUCCCGCAACGAGCGCAACCCUUGAUCUUAGUUGCCAGCAUUCAGUUGGGCACUCUAAGGUGACUGCCGGUGACAAACCGGAGGAAGGUGGGGAUGACGUCAAAUCAUCAUGCCCCUUAUGACCUGGGCUACACACGUGCUACAAUGGACAGAACAAAGGGCAGCGAAACCGCGAGGUUAAGCCAAUCCCACAAAUCUGUUCUCAGUUCGGAUCGCAGUCUGCAACUCGACUGCGUGAAGCUGGAAUCGCUAGUAAUCGCGGAUCAGCAUGCCGCGGUGAAUACGUUCCCGGGCCUUGUACACACCGCCCGUCACACCACGAGAGUUUGUAACACCCGAAGUCGGUGAGGUAACCUUUUAGGAGCCAGCCGCCGAAGGUGGGACAGAUGAUUGGGGUGAAGUCGUAACAAGUGCCUUAGGGU